rnacentral:rRNA from 1 species
UACGAAGGGGGCGAGCGUUGUUCGGAUUUACUGGGCGUAAAGGGCGCGCAGGCGGCUACAUUUGUCAGGCGUGAAAGCCCCGGGCUUAACCGGGGAACUGCGUCUGAUACUGGAUGGCUUGAGAUUGGGAGAGGGAUGCGGAAUUCCAGGUGUAGCGGUGAAAUGCGUAGAUAUCUGGAGGAACACCGGUGGCGAAGGCGGCGUUCUGGACUGUAACUGACACUGAGUGAACGAAAGCCAGGGGAGCAAACGGG